rnacentral:tRNA from 1 species
GGGCCCGUAGCUCAACGGCAGAGCUAACGGCUCAUAACUGUGAGGUUGUAGGUUCGAAUCCUACCGGGGUCA